GGAAUAUUGCACAAUGGGGGAAACCCUGAUGCAGCAACGCCGCGUGAGUGAAGAAGUAUUUCGGUACGUAAAGCUCUAUCAGCAGGGAAGAAGAAGGACGGUACCUGAGUAAGAAGCCGCGGCUAACUACGUGCCAGCAGCCGCGGUAAUACGUAGGGGGCAAGCGUUAUCCGGAUUUACUGGGUGUAAAGGGAGCGUAGACGGCAGCGCAAGUCUGGAGUGAAAUGCCGGGGCCCAACCCCGGAACUGCUUUGGAAACUGUGCGGCUCGAGUGCGGGAGAGGUAGGCGGAAUUCCUAGUGUAGCGGUGAAAUGCGUAGAUAUUAGGAGGAACACCAGUGGCGAAGGCGGCUUACUGGACCGUAACUGACGUUGAGGCUCGAAAGCGUGGGGAGCAAAC
rnacentral:rRNA from 1 species